rnacentral:rRNA from 1 species
AACGAACGCUGGCGGCAGGCUUAACACAUGCAAGCCGAGCGCCCCGCAAGGGGAGCGGCAGACGGGUGAGUAACGCGUGGGAACGUACCCUUUGCUACGGAAUAGCUCCGGGAAACUGGAAUUAAUACCGUAUGUGCCCUACGGGGGAAAGAUUUAUCGGCAAAGGAUCGGCCCGCGUUGGAUUAGCUAGUUGGUGGGGUAAUGGCCUACCAAGGCGACGAUCCAUAGCUGGUCUGAGAGGAUGAUCAGCCACAUUGGGACUGAGACACGGCCCAAACUCCUACGGGAGGCAGCAGUGGGGAAUAUUGGACAAUGGGCGCAAGCCUGAUCCAGCCAUGCCGCGUGAGUGAUGAAGGCCUUAGGGUUGUAAAGCUCUUUCACCGGAGAAGAUAAUGACGGUAUCCGGAGAAGAAGCCCCGGCUAACUUUGUGCCAGCAGCCGCCGUAAGAC